rnacentral:pre_miRNA from 1 species
AUCUGGUCUGAAGACACAUUGUUUCUAUGACUCUUUCAACAAUGUGUCUCAGAUCAGUUGC